rnacentral:lncRNA from 1 species
UGCCCAUUUACCUGUCAGACUCUGACAUGGUCAGACUUGAAAAUCAUGACUUUUCCUUGUCCCAGACAUGAACAAAUCAACCCUGAUCCUCCGCCUGCCACUCCCUCACUAAUAAAUUAGCAGAGUUUACAUAACCCGCAGUCGGCAGUUUGCGCUGGGCGCCACCAACCCAAUUACGCGGCUCACGUCCUCCAGGAGAAUUUUCCUUCUGUUCAUGGCGCUUCGACAGUGAGCAGCUGAACCUGGCUGUAAGAGUGUCUGAGAAGACGUCUCUGGUGUCCCCAGCCCUGUGAGUCUCACCGUUUUUCGCUGCGUGUGUCUGGAGCCCUGCAGCGAAGCCGCACCCACUCCUGAACCACUGCACAGCCACCUGAUGCUCUGGGAACACCCUUUGUUCUGAAACCUGUUUCUGUCUGAUAUUGAAGUCAUCGUCACAGCUUCUCUUGACAGACGUUAGCAUAUCUGUUGCCUUCCUUUCUCUUCUAACCAUCAGCCACAGAGUUUAGAGCAAGCUGGAGUUGGGGUAGGAAACUCAGAAAACGGGAAAGAGGAAUAUGGCUCAUUCACAAUCCUCAGGAUUCACCAGCCCAAACAGGAGCUGACAGUGUCUAUUAAACUCUGCCGGCUUCUGUCUUUAGGAGACACCGUUCACCCUCCUCACAAGGCAGGUGGACACUGCAGAUGCAUCCCUGCCUGAGAGGAGCCCCGGGAAGGCAGACCAGUGUCCAGCACACAAUGGGCGUGGUGAGACCCUGGCACAGGAGCAACAGGUUAGCAGCAAGGAGUUUCCUAAAGGAUUUGGUGAGAGUACAAUAAUACUCAAGGUGAGUAAAGAUGCCAUUGGCUGUUGGGCUCAAAGAAUUCUGGGUAAAUGCUGCAAAGAGGAAAAGUUAGAAACACUCAAAGGCCUCCACUGACAUUUCCUUCCUCCCAUCCAAGUGUAACCAGGCCCGACCCUGCUUAGCUUCCGAGAUGAGACGAGACUGGGCGCGUUCAGGGAGGUGUGGCCGUAGGCUGUUCCUUCCUGUGUGCUGCCUGCAGUGGAGCCGGCAGC